rnacentral:rRNA from 1 species
AACGAACGCUGGCGGCAUGCCUAACACAUGCAAGUCGAACGAGACCUUCGGGUCUAGUGGCGCACGGGUGCGUAACGCGUGGGAAUCUGCCCCUUGGUUCGGAAUAACAGUUAGAAAUGACUGCUAAUACCGGAUGAUGACGAAAGUCCAAAGAUUUAUCGCCGAGGGAUGAGCCCGCGUAGGAUUAGCUAGUUGGUGAGGUAAAGGCUCACCAAGGCGACGAUCCUUAGCUGGUCUGAGAGGAUGAUCAGCACACUGGGACUGAGACACGGCCCAGACUCCUACGGGAGGCAGCAGUGGGGAAUUUUGGACAAUGGGCGAAAGCCUGAUCCAGCCAUGCCGCGUGCAGGAUG